UACGAAGGGGGCUAGCGUUGCUCGGAAUCACUGGGCGUAAAGGGUGCGUAGGCGGGUCUUUAAGUCAGGGGUGAAAUCCUGGAGCUCAACUCCAGAACUGCCUUUGAUACUGAAGAUCUUGAGUUCGGGAGAGGUGAGUGGAACUGCGAGUGUAGAGGUGAAAUUCGUAGAUAUUCGCAAGAACACCAGUGGCGAAGGCGGCUCACUGGCCCGAUACUGACGCUGAGGCACGAAAGCGUGGGGAGGCAAACAGGGA
rnacentral:rRNA from 1 species